GUGUGUGUAUGUGUGUGUAUGUGUGUGUAUGUGUGUGUAUGUGUGUAUGUGUGUGUAUGUGUGUGUAUGUGUGUGUAUGUGUGUGUAUGUGUGUGUAUGUGUGUGUAUGUGUGUGUAUGUGUGUGUAUGUGUGUGUAUGUGUGUGUAUGUGUGUGUAUGUGUGUGUAUGUGUGUGUAUGUGUGUAUGCGUGUGUAUGUGUGUGUAUGUGUGUGUAUGUGUGUGUAUGUAUGUGUGUGUAUGUUUGUGUAUGUGUGUGUAUGUGUGUACGUGUGUACGUGUGUGUGCGGACACUGGGAAGAAGUUAGAGAGGACGACAGUGACUUGGGAUGUGUAUGAUUUAAGAAUAUAAAGGCUAAGCGACCUAAGAACUCCAACGCCAAGACAUCAACGUUCUCUGUUACACCUGAAAUAAUAUGCACUCAGACCAUUUACCGUUGAAAAAGUUGAUUUACUAUUUACUCGAGAAGACCAUCGACAACAUCUGCGCAGUAAACAUCCGCAUAAACGGAGCCACGGAACUCAUCUAAUCUAAUAUAGAUCUGAAUAUUUGACGUAAUAUAACUUAAGUAAUUGUACGUAAGCCUCUUUGGCGGAAGUUUACUUUCCCUUUAGCCACGUUGACCAGCACGAACGGGACAUAAGCACCAACCGCCCACCGUCUAUCAUUCUAUCUAACCCGCGGACUGAAGCGCGUGUUUCGCCGCACUGCACAUCUUGCCCAUACCCCACUAGCAACCGACCCGCAAGGCACGCCCCCGCCCAAAAGCUGCUCAAAACCGCAGAAUUCCGCUACUGCCGUUUGUUGCGCACAGGAUUUUGUACGGACUGCUGUUCACGGCAAGUUUGCAAAUGGAUGUCGUCCAUUCACUGUAUAUUUGUUGCGUUCUUGACAAGGAUCAGCGCAGAAUAACCCAUCCUUUUAUUCACGAGGCCAUUCGUCAGGUAAGUGAGGGGCUACAUAAAAUUGUGUGAUAUUCUUCCAUUUCUCACCGGUCAUUUUUUCUUCUACGCCUGCGUCCACAUCCCCACCCAGGCCUCAC
rnacentral:lncRNA from 1 species